AGUUAAGCUACAAAGGGCAUACGGUGGAUGCCUAGGCAUUGAGAGUCGAUGAAGGACGCGGUAAGCUGCGAAAAGGUUUGGGGAGCUGCAAGCAAGCAUUGAUCCAGACAUCUCCGAAUGGGGCAACCCGUCAGACGUAACUGUCUGUCAUCCUUAGGGAGGAUAACCCGGUGAACUGAAACAUCUAAGUAGCCGGAGGAAGAGUAAUCAAACGAGAUUCCCGUAGUAGCGGCGAGCGAAGAGGGAAGAGCCCAAACCGGAAGUCUUCGGACAUCCGGGGUUGAGGACCUGCAUAA
rnacentral:ncRNA from 1 species